rnacentral:ncRNA from 1 species
UUUGCGGCGUUGAUGAGGCGAGUAAAUCAGGAUAAUCCUACAGGGAGGCGCACCUUGACUGGAAGUGUGCCGGAUGAAACUGAUUGAAGUUCCCCUCAGAGCUGCAAGGUUGAACGGCGCGAGUAUUUGGGGUGGACCCAGUCUUGGACGUACAAGUAGGCCUUGCCGGAUGGAGUCGAUUGAGUCGACUCAUCCGUUAUCGUGAAGAGUCGGGCGACAUCUGUCGCCAAUUAGGGUGGUACCGCGAGCAACCUCGUCCCUACG